UACGUAGGGUGCGAGCGUUGUCCGGAAUUAUUGGGCGUAAAGAGCUCGUAGGCGGUCUGUCGCGUCUGCUGUGAAAACCCGAGGCUCAACCUCGGGCCUGCAGUGGGUACGGGCAGACUAGAGUGCGGUAGGGGAGAAUGGAACUCCUGGUGUAGCGGUGGAAUGCGCAGAUAUCAGGAAGAACACCGAUGGCGAAGGCAGUUCUCUGGGCCGUAACUGACGCUGGAGGAGCGAAAGCGUGGGGAGCGAACAGG
rnacentral:rRNA from 1 species